rnacentral:rRNA from 1 species
GACGAACCGUGCAAACGUUGUUCGGAAUCACUGGGCUUAAAGGGCGCGUAGGCGGGUCACCAAGUCCGGGGUGAAAUCUUUCGGCUCAACCGGAAAAGUGCCUUGGAUACUGGUGGUCUUGAGUGAGGUAGGGGCAUGUGGAACUUCCGUUCGAGCGGUGAAAUGCGUUGAUAUCGGAAGGAACUCCGGUGGCGAGGGCGACGUGCUGGACCCCUUCUGACGCUGAGGCGCGAAAGCUAGGGGAGCAGACGGG